rnacentral:tRNA from 1 species
GCCGGGGUGCCCGAGGGGUCUAAGGGGCCGGACUUGAGAUCCGGUGGGCCGUAAGGCCCGCAGGGGUUCGAAUCCCCUCCCCGGCG